rnacentral:rRNA from 1 species
AGUGAACGCUGGCGGUAGGCCUAACACAUGCAAGUCGAACGGCAGCACAGUAAGAGCUUGCUCUUACGGGUGGCGAGUGGCGGACGGGUGAGGAAUACAUCGGAAUCUACUUUUUCGUGGGGGAUAACGUAGGGAAACUUACGCUAAUACCGCAUACGACCUACGGGUGAAAGCAGGGGAUCUUCGGACCUUGCGCGAUUGAAUGAGCCGAUGUCGGAUUAGCUAGUUGGCGGGGUAAAGGCCCACCAAGGCGACGAUCCGUAGCUGGUCUGAGAGGAUGAUCAGCCACACUGGAACUGAGACACGGUCCAGACUCCUACGGGAGGCAGCAGUGGGGAAUAGUGGACAAUGGGCGCAAGCCUGAUCCAGCCAUACCGCGUGGGUGAAGAAGGCCUUCGGGUUGUAAAGCCCUUUUGUUGGGAAAGAAAAGCAGCAGGCUAAUACCCCGCUGUUCUGACGGUACCCAAAGAAUAAGCACCGGCUAACUUCGUG